rnacentral:rRNA from 1 species
GGGGAAUAUUGCGCAAUGGGGGAAACCCUGACGCAGCAACGCCGCGUGAGCGAUGAAGGUCUUCGGAUUGUAAAGCUCUGUCUUUAGGGACGAUAAUGACGGUACCUAAGGAGGAAGCCACGGCUAACUACGUGCCAGCAGCCGCGGUAAUACGUAGGUGGCAAGCGUUGUCCGGAUUUACUGGGCGUAAAGGAUGCGUAGGCGGAUAUUUAAGUGGGAUGUGAAAUACCCGAGCUCAACUUGGGUGCUGCAUUCCAAACUGGAUAUCUAGAGUGCGGGAGAGGAGAGUGGAAUUCCUAGUGUAGCGGUGAAAUGCGUAGAGAUUAGGAAGAACACCAGUGGCGAAGGCGACUCUCUGGACCGUAACUGACGCUGAGGCAUGAAAGCGUGGGGAGCAAAC